UAACACCAGCUCCGCGAGUGGUCGGGACGCUUACUGGGCCUAAAGCGCCUGUAGCCGGCCCACUAAGUCGCCCCUUAAAGACCCGGGCUCAACCCGGGAAAUGGGGGCGAUACUGGUGGGCUAGGGGGCGGGAGAGGCUAGGGGUACUCCCAGAGGAGGGGCGAAAUCCGUAGAUCCUGGGAGGACCACCAGUGGCGGAGGCGCCUAGCUAGAACGCGCCCGACGGUGAGAGGCGAAAGCCGGGGCAGCAAAUGGGAUUAGAUACCCCAGUAGUCCCGGCUGUAAACGAUGCGGGCUAGGUGUCAGGUGGGCUUAGAGCUCACCUGGUGCCGCAGGGAAGCCGUUAAGCCCGCCGCCUGGGGAGUACAGUCGCAAGACUG
rnacentral:rRNA from 1 species